rnacentral:rRNA from 1 species
AGAGUUUGAUCCUGGCUCAGAUUGAACGCUGGCGGCAUGCUUUACACAUGCAAGUCGAACGGCAGCGCGGGCUUCGGCCUGGCGGCGAGUGGCGAACGGGUGAGUAAUAUAUCGGAACGUACCCAGAAGUGGGGGAUAACGUAGCGAAAGUUACGCUAUACCGCAUACGAUCUACGGAUGAAAGUGGGGGACCGCAAGGCCUCAUGCUUUUGGAGCGGCCGAUAUCUGAUUAGCUAGUUGGUAGGGUAAUGGCCUACCAAGGCGACGAUCAGUAGCUGGUCUGAGAGGACGACCAGCCACACUGGAACUGAGACACGGUCCAGACUCCUACGGGAGGCAGCAGUGGGGAAUUUUGGACAAUGGGCGCAAGCCUGAUCCAGCAAUGCCGCGUGAGUGAAGAAGGCCUUCGGGUUGUAAAGCUCUUUUGUCAGGGAAGAAACGGCUGAGGCUAAUAUCCUCGGCUAAUGACGGUACCG